CCCAAUGUGAACGUUACCAAACUGUUGCCUCGGCGGGGUCACGCCCCGGGUGCGUCGCAGCCCCGGAACCAGGCGCCCGCCGGAGGAACCAACCAAACUCUUUCUGUAGUCCCCUCGCGGACGUAUUUCUUACAGCUCUGAGCAAAAAUUCAAAAUGAAUCAAAACUUUCAACAACGGAUCUCUUGGUUCUGGCAUCGAUGAAGAACGCAGCGAAAUGCGAUAAGUAAUGUGAAUUGCAGAAUUCAGUGAAUCAUCGAAUCUUUGAACGCACAUUGCGCCCGCCAGUAUUCUGGCGGGCAUGCCUGUCCGAGCGUCAUUUCAACCCUCGAACCCCUCCGGGGGAUCGGCGUUGGGGAUCGGGACCCCUCACACGGGUGCCGGCCCCGAAAUACAGUGGCGGUCUCGCCGCAGCCUCUCCUGCGCAGUAGUUUGCACAACUCGCACCGGGAGCGCGGCGCGUCCACGUCCGUAAAACACCCAACUUUCUGAAAUGUUGACCUCGGAUCAGGUAGGAAUACCCGCUGAACUUAAGCAUAUCAA
rnacentral:rRNA from 1 species